rnacentral:tRNA from 1 species
GCGCCAGUAAUCUAACCUGGUAGGAUUAACUAUACUAAUACCAGCUUCCCAAGCUGGGUGUCCGGGUUCAAAUCCCGGCUGGCGCA